rnacentral:miRNA from 1 species
GCCCAAUGAUGUCUCUGAGGGGG